AUGGCCUGGCUCAGAAUCAACGCUGGCGGCGUGCCUAACACAUGCAAGUCGAACGCGAAAGCGGCUUCGGCCGUAAGUAGAGUGGCGAACGGGUGAGUAACGCGUGGGUGACCUGCCUUCGAGUGGGGGAUAACGUUUCGAAGGGAACGCUAAUACCGCAUGACAUCCCGUCCUUGGACGGAUGGUGAUCAAAGCCGGGGAUCGCAAGACCUGGCGCUUGAAGAGGGGCCCGCGUCCGAUUAGCUAGUUGGUAGGGUAAUGGCCUACCAAGGCAACGAUCGGUAGCCGGCCUGAGAGGGCGGACGGCCACACUGGGACUGAGACACGGCCCAGACUCCUACGGGAGGCAGCAGUGAGGAAUUGUUCGCAAUGGGCGCAAGCCUGACGACGCAACGCCGCGUGGAGGAUGAAGAUCUUCGGGUUGUAAACUCCUGUCGAGCGGGACGAAUAUCACCUGGGUCGAUACCCCGGGUGCCUGACGGUACCGCUAAAGGAAGCCCCGGCGAACUCCGUGCCAGCAGCCGCGGUAAUACGGGGGGGACAAGCGUUGUUCGGAAUUACUGGGCGUAAAGAGCUCGUAGGCGGCCAACUAAGUCGGACGUGAAAUCCCUCGGCUUAACCGAGGAACUGCGUCCGAGACGGGAUGGCUUGAAGCCGGGAGAGGGAUGCGGAAUUCCAGGUGUAGCGGUGAAAUGUGUAGAUAUCUGGAGGAACACCGGUGGCGAAGGCGGCAUCCUGGACCGGUCUUGACGCUGAGGAGCGAAAGCCAGGGGAGCAAACGGGAUUAGAUACCCCGGUAGUCCUGGCCCUAAACGAUGAAUGCUUGGUGUGGCGGGUAUCGAUCCCUGCCG
rnacentral:rRNA from 1 species